UGCCCUUCGAGGAUCAUCGAUCAUCAAAAUGACGUCCGAUGAGUCUCACAAUCCAACAAUGACACCUAGUAGUAUGUAGUGGCAAUCCAGUAGAAUGAAAGUUUGAAUCCCUACAUACAAUUAUCAUGUAAUUCAGUUCUUCGAUCGUGAGUCCUGAUUUGAUGAAGGUCAUAGAAAACUCAUCAGACCCCAUCGUCGAUCAUAUGCCAGAUUGGCUCAACUCGAGUUCACUUAUGAAUCCCAUAAAAAUUCUUUUUCAGUAUUCACACUUACUUUAGCCAAAGGCUUUCUGAACUCAGUCUCGCAAAUCGUAUAGGACUUCUCCUUUUCUAUCAAGAUCGAUAGAUUNNNNNNNNNNNNNNNNNNNNACAGUAAGGACUCACAUGGCAGGGACCAAGGGAACAUGCAGUCAAACUCAGUAGCCUUGCUGCGAAUAGUCGAUGACACCAUAGGUCAAAGAACCACUCAUACUACUGC
rnacentral:lncRNA from 1 species